UUGAAAAAUCAAAGUAGUGAUCCUCAGACACUGAUGUGGAGCAACUUCUUCAGAUUUUUAGUGAUGAAGAGGCACAGGGGAAGUUAUAUUCCAUAUCAUCCAACUACAAAAGUUGCAUUCUGACUAGAGCAGAAUGCUGUGUUAAAUGUGCAGGGGGAGCAGCCCUGCCUCAUAUCUGAUGUAGGAGCCAAAAUUGUUUCCCACAGAAAAAGGAGAGAUCCCAGUUUGAAAGAGGACUACAAGCUGGAAGCAAUAAUGCUUGAGAAAGACAGAAGAGCUGAAUAAGGGCGUGUAGGUGGUAGUAGAUCAGCACUUUCAGCAGCAUAUAAGAAAUGCCAUGCUGCAGGAUGAGAGACAGGCAGCUGUGGAAAGACCAUAACUAGGUGAUGGAACUGCAGCUGAUAGCAAUUUUUAUUACAGGCAUCAGCUGAAAUCAGAGCUGAGCUGAGAAACACAAAGGCUUCAUGGAGGAUUAAGGGAAUGGGGAGAAGCAAGGAGUCAGGACAAGAAAGAAAGGAGAAAAAAAAAAGCAGUGAGCUUCAUGACCCUGGAAGCAGCAUUAGAGGAGCCAGGUAUUUUGGAUGAGCCAAGAAUCCAUUGCCUCUGGGAAGGUGAAAAAUUCUAACAUUAAGAAGUUCCUGGCUCAGAUUCUCUUCUCUUUUUUCCAUUGCUCUUAUUUCAUCACUAAACCAGACAUGUUGAAAGUAUCUAUAAGUGCAGAACCAAUUUGCUCAAGGAUUCCUUAUGAUCAGCAAAGGCAAACAGAGGAAUUUGUGGGGAAUAAAAUGUACCUGGGGGACACAGUGUGGUUUUGUCUAGGGAGUAGAGGGGACAAGGAAGAAAUGAGCUACCAGCUGGAGCAUAUGAAAGAGAAGAUUGCCUAAAAAACCCAUGAAAACUCCUACAUAAAAAAGGGGAGGAGAAGAUUCUCCUCUUGGUGCUCUGUCAAGUGAGCAGUGAACGAAUUGCUUUGGCUUAGAUCUUGGACCCCAACUGUUGUUUGCUCUGCAGGAUCCUCAUUCAAAACCACAGUAGAACACCUACCACAGCUAAAGGUCCUGGAGUUACUCACAAAGCCUAGACAUUGCCUUUGGAAUUCUUUCAAGGAAAAUGGUUCAUCUUGACAUUUGGCUACAAGUGGAAGUAGAUACAGAUUGUUUUCCUUUGCAGAAGACAGCAAACACAACAGACUGAGUCACAGGUUCAGAGUCAUAAUUUCUGCCACAGUGGAAACCUGAUGGACUCCUGCAGUUCUGUUUAAAAUCAAGAGGGGUCAUUUCCCCAUUUCUGACUGAGCAGGCUUUGAAAUGGUUUUUGGGACUGCAAUGAGUUAUACCUUCCCCAGUGCCAAGUCAGGAGAAGACAAAUGAGGGGAGCCCCUUGCUCUGGAAAGAGGGAGAACUUAAGACCAGACAGAUGAAAGUAGCCACAAAAGGUGUAAACCACAGAAACAAAAUUGGCAGGCAAGAGAUUACAAUUCCCCUGUUCUGGGAUGCAUUUCAUGGGAACAGUAGCUUUGGAAGUACUGUCAAGGUCGACACCAUGAAGUGUGAGACAGGGAGCUGGCAGAAGCUAGAAGGAAUUUGGUAACAGCAAGGAUCCUCACUUCUGGUGAGGGGAAGAGAAUCAGAGAUUUUAUUAGCAGGAGCAAACAGAUCCUGCAUUCAGAAAGGUAAUAGAAAACUACCAUGACUCAGCUUAAUAGGGAAAGGGAGAGUGGUUAAGGCAGUUAAGAGAAAUGUGGAGUAUUAUUACUACCAGUGGACUGUUCUCUUGUUCUUUCAAUUUCACUCCAAGAACUAAAUGGAUCCUUCAAAAUCUGGCUACCUACCAAGGACACAAUCAAACAUCUGUGCACCAGAUGCACAGAGCAUUAUAUCCAGCUGUGUUACUGCAGCUACAUCUGCAGAACACAGCAUUUGUCAACUUCCAUGGCCAGCAGGCUUUGGAAAUCCUAUCUAUAGGAAUUAAAGCUUGCAGUAGAAGUAAAAGUGUGGGUUUUGCUUUCGGCAUUUUUAUGUCUUCUUUUACCUGUCUGCAUUUCUCAACUGAGUUGCUUGUGAGAUUGAAAUAUUGGCGGGAAAUAGCAGGCCUUUUAAUAGCAAAUAUUUCUCCUUGGGAGAAAUGUUUUCCUAACUGGACAUUUUUUCUCCAAAAAUGGAAGUUCCACUCUACUGAUCUACAACUGGAAAUGACCAGUAUUUCAGCAGAAUUAGCUUGUGUUCCAUUCAAGCCACUAAACCAACUGGCAGCAAGCUUCUCUCUGGCUUUCCACGUACUGCUGGGAGGCAGAAAAACCAGUUUUAUCCAGACAGCACUGUGAGGAUGAGUUGCAUGAAAUUACUUAUCCAGUCUGCUUGCAAAAAAUUUACAUUUCCUGUCAGCAUAUGCAUUGUCUGUUAUUAAAGACAUUUCUAGGACUUAAAAAUGCCAUACCAUAUGAGAGUAUGGUUUGCUAUGUGGCACAGAAAACUGUAGGUCUAUUCAAAAAAGUCAGGUUUGAAUGUGUUAUCAUUUUAAAGUACAUCCUUAAAUGGAUGAAGUGGCAUAUAUCUUCCCACAGGAAAUCAGAAUAAAUAGGUUAUAUUGAGCAGUCAUCAUCAUCUAGAAAUGGGAAGUAAAAUGUUUUCUACAGAUUUUCUUCAGAGUCUUCAUGUGGAUUUUUCUUUACUUCACACCAAAUAUCAUUAAGCUGCUAGUAGCUGAAAAUCUUGUGUGUGAGGACAGAAGAUAGCUUUCCCCCAUCAGUGAAGGCAUUUUUGUUUAAUAACAACUUUGAUCCUUCUACUGUUGGCAAUGGUCAUUGAGAAAUCCUGACAUAAAGAAGGUAUCUGCAAGAUAAAGUUCUACAAGGGAUGAUUAGCAGCACUUAAGUUUUCUUUCUGUUGAAAGGAAGAAUCCCUGAUUGAACAGUGCAUUGAAUGAUAUGACAAGCAAGUACUUGAUCCCUGUCCAGCUGGAAAGGAAUUGUAUUCAUCAGCAGCUUUUUAGCUAAGGAUGUCUUUAUAUUUUCACUCUUUGUUUGAGUCUCUCCAGAUCCUCCCUUUACUUCAU